rnacentral:lncRNA from 1 species
CAAGGAGUUAAUUCCAAAUGAUGAAGCAAUCCAGCCCAGAAAGCAGCUAAGAUUGAGCUUAUGUCAACAGGUAGAAUUUACAGUCUCACAAAAAGAAAUGUUUAACAGUCAACUAUUUAGUUGCAAUAAAUUAGACUUUCACUAUGUUGUUCUUAUCACAGAGAUCUAUAGAUGAAAAGCAGUAUAUAGUAGCUAAUUAUUAAUUUUAUUUAUUACCACAGGCAGGAUUUUCUAGUAGCAUUCUGUUCCUUAAUGUGAAACUAGGGAUCAGAACUUUAUGAUGACCUGAAGCUGGUUUCUUAACAGUUUCGAUUUCCUGCUCUUCACAGUCACCAUAAAUCUUGUUCUCCUCCUCAAAGCUUCAGAUGUUUCUAACUUCUUAUCUAUCAGCCUCUAAAGUGCUUCCAGACUCCCACAAACGUUUUAGCUGACUCCAAAGGCUUGUCUGCCACUCUUCUAAGUGUCAGGCCAUAUAUCUGUUUUGGGGGAGUUCCUCAUUGAAAAAGGCAUACUAUGCAAAACACAUAGGCAGGGAGGACCCAGAGGCACCCCAGCCUCACUUAUAUUUCAAGUCUGAACCCAUGCUGUCAUUCAAACUUGCCUAGAAUGCAAACUGCCUGAACAAGCCUUUGCUUAAGCUCACCAAGCUGAAGGUAGCAGCACUACAGCAACUCCUCUGUGAUUGCAGUUGCAAGGGUGAGUGAGGCCAUGGCCCAGGUUCUAUCCUAUAAUGCUUUGUGGAGGCAUUACAUGACUGGUCUCAACACGAAUACAUGAACCUCAGAUCAUGUACCACACCGGGAUUCAUCCAGCACUUUGAGAGCAGACACCAGCAGCCAAGCAUUGGUGAGUCCCCAGCCUUAAUUUGAAACUGGUUCUUAAAGGAGGAAGAGGGUGAGGGCUGAGGGAGGAGAAUGAACAUUGGAGAGAGAGCUUGCAAGGAAGGAAAAGGAGUUUGCGACACCACAUCUCAACACAGCUUAAACAUCAUUUAAAUAAGGAUUAUAAUGAAAAACUGCACUUGCUCUAUCAGCUUUCUUCACAAAUCACAGCCACCAGAACAGGACAGUAGAACAGACACUUGCCUAUUCAAUCUGAUGUUGACUUGCAGUUGUAUCCCUCGGAAGCAUUCUCAAGCAGCAAAACCAAGGCUUUAUCACAGCCCCACUACAACCCCACAGAAAUUGUACUACUUUUGGGGAAAGCAUAGGGCAAAGAGAGAAAGGAAUUUACAAUCCUUACACAGCUAUUAGAACUGCUUCUGUAAAAAGAAAUGCCAAGAGCAGCACAGCUCAGCAAAGCCAUUCUUUUAGCCACAAAUAAUCUUUAAACAAAAACAUGGAUGUAAUAAAGGAUAUUUGGGACUGAAAAAUAAGAAGCAUAACAGGACCACAGAAUAAGAAAUUCCGUAUGACACACUGGAUUCUCACAUGAAAAACAGUCUAAGAUGUCUUUCAUUAUUUUGGUCUGUGUAUCUUAAAGAACACAAAGUGAAUACACAAAAGGCUUCUCUCCUUAGAAGAGCAUUAUCCUUUCAUGUGUGGCAGUAUGUUUGAUUGAAGACCAGCAACAUAAGGGAUAAGGUGGCCUGUCUGUACUGGAUGAGAUGUGAAAUGACAAGGGACUCGAUAUGUUUUGUGAAGGUGCCUUUACGUUCAAUUAUACUAGUUUUUAAGCUGUUUGCAUGUGAAUAUAUUUACACAUUCAGUAUUUUGGUCAUGUAGCUUUGGUCACACAUGGUGGGGUUUAUAGUACUUUAUACAUUCCUCUAUAAAUAGGUGCUGAGAAUAUCCUGCCCCAUCUCAGCAUCUGACUCCUAGAUGUAACAUUCACAGAUGGAACUCCCUUGAGUCAAGCAAAACUGAAUGUUUACAGAUGUGCUUGCCAGAUCUAUUGUGCUAGAAAAUCUUGCCAAAUCAUGACUCUUUUACUAAAAUGAGGAAGAGUUCAUAAAAUGGGAAUCCAUGUUUGAUGGGAAACACGUUGCUGAAGAAUACCAUCACAUUGUGAAACAGGAAAAAAAAAAGUAAAGAACAGUUCUACUAUGUCAGUAGAGGCCACUUUUCUCUUAUUUUGUAGAGGCAAGCUAAUCAGCCGCAACCAUGAUUAUUUAGCUUUCCCCAUAACUAGGCUACUGUGGACCAGCAGGACACUUCACAAGGUGAGAAAAACAACUUACCAGCUACUGGAUGCUCUUGCUUUCCAUUUUAAGUCCUUGCUCAAUUCUACCUCAGUGCACUGCCUGAAGCUUCCAGGGCUCCCUUCUCUUUUUCCCCUCUGCUCGGUUAGCAACCUCCCGCAAUGGGAGGCUGCUGAGAAUCACAGCAAUCAAACACCAUUCUCUGGAUUCCUUCUCUCCCCAAACACCACAAUGUGGCUCUCUUUGCUGUUAAUGAAAUUGGUUGCAACAACAGUUAUAAGAUUAUCCUUCUGAUUGUUUUUCCAGACAGAUGCUAAAUUGCCUUGUUAUAUUUGGACAUAUGUUGCUGCUUCUUUUCCUAAUGGACAUUUCUCAAGAGCAAGACCUGCCUAGGGUCAGCAAAGGGCAGGCAGUUUUGGAUCGGCUCCUCAGGACCCCUCAAACUGAGGAGGAUUCUCACUGUAUGCUGCUCACUCCUUCCCCCUCUCAGCUCUUCUGUGCCUCAACAUUUUUGUCCACUUUGCCAAGUCCCUCAAACAUCUGCUUCCUCCACCCCUGCUCUAGUGUUCAAGAAUGUCUCUGGCAAGAGCUUGCGGCCAGAAUGGCUUUCCUCACCUAAAACCUAUUCUCCUCUCUUGGUCUUCUCCCAACAGAACACCUCCCCCAGCAGAAAUAAGUUUAGUGACUGCAAACCUUAGUGACCACAACUCAGAUCCUCAUCCGUCUCUACUGCCCUUUUCACUGCACAAGACUGUAUCAGUGUCUCAGAAGAGGCUUGAUAGUGCACGACUCAAUCUUCCUCUUAUCUGUUCAUCACUUCGCUUUCAGUGACCAUUCCCCAGGUCUCUUCCAUUUAGUGUCCGUAGAAGACAAGUUUUCCUCCAGCCACCCCAUGACCUCCUCCUAUUCCUUCUCCUGAGAUUUCCCCACACGUCCAUACACAUUCCCCCCCCCCCUUCCAAACUCUUUUCUAAAGAAAAUAGAGAAAUCUUUGUCCUAAAAACAAAACAGAAAAUCCAAUAGCACACCACCCAACCAAACAAUGCCCACAAAACAAAAUGGAGAAGAACCAACUUAUAAAAAUACCAAAAACUCCAUACAGAAACACAACAGUUAAUUUCUCCUUUCAUCUCUAAGCUCAUUCUGUGGUAUUAACACCACAAUGUAGUUUCUUGACACCACUUCCACCUAAGAUCCUCUCCAGUCUUGCAUUCCUCCUCACAUUCAAUGAAGAUGCUGUCAUUAGCACUUCAAAUGAUUGUUUCCUAAACAUAUCUCACAGUCACUUACUCCAUUUUCAUUCAUUGUAUGUAUUAUUCUUAAGCACUUCACCACAUAUGCUCAAAUACUUACUAUCUCAUACUCUCAUAAAUACUGCCUCAAUUCAAUUGCCUUAUUUCUUUAACUGACCCUUUAGACAGACACUCAGAUUCUUUGCUCUAGUUUUCUGUGGGACAUCUCUGUACCAUAACUAGAUAACAGUUUCUGUAACUUAUUUACCUAAAAUAGCUUUCCCCUUGCGGUAAGAUGAAGUAAGUUACAAAGCCCCCUCUUCUAGUUUUGGCUCAGAGGCUUCUCCCUGUUUAUGUCUCAAGUUGCUCCUCCUUCUUCGUUUCAGUUUAUCUUCUUUUCAGUUUUUCUGAUGGAAUGAACACAUUACUCUCUUGGUUUCUAAGAGACUUAGAAAUGUCAGGAUUAAAACAGCCAUGAGAAACCAGACCAACAUUUUUUGCCUCACUCCUUGCCCCUUACUCACAGGGAAACUCAAAUGAGAGGCAGGAAGGGGUAAAUAGUCUCUGAGACCAAGGCAGCUGGUCUCAUCAGACAACCGCACCCAGCUGUUUUAUAUAUGGAACAGGAAAUUAGAAGCUGGAGUUGAAGGAUAGCUCUCCAUUCAGAAGCUUGAUGCAAAAAGACUGUUGUAUUAAAGGCUGUACCUUGUUUUUACUACAUAAAGAUUUGAACAAGUAGGAAGUAAUACUUCUGUUGCAGGGAAGAAAGUAGAAAAGUGAUUUUAUUUAUUUCCUGUGGCUUGCGUCUUUUUUCACUUCGCUAUGAUACUAUUACUUUGAAUAUGUUAUACCAGAGUAUCAAAAAUCUCAAGUGAUUCUGUUGGAUUUACCUUUCUAAUUCUUUUGCUCAGUGCUUAUCAGUUUUCCUUCAAGAAGUCAACUAUUAUAAAGCACAAGUUGCAUAAAUAGACAUCUCCUAUAAGCUUGCACAGGACUUGAGUCUUGACUCAAUGCCAACUUAAAUAAUUCUUCCAGCCUAAACUUCACCCACAGGAUUGCGUUGCUUGCCUUGCCUCCAAAAACACUUGCAUUGAAUACUGGAGGCCUAUCACUUAACUGGUAUGGACUAUCAAAAGAUCAUUGGAACAAGUGGCGAUUUCCCUCUAAGCCUGUGAAGCGUUUGGGGAAAAUAUUAUAACUAGAUUCAACUUCUCAACAGUUAUCUCAGAAGCAGUAGUGAGAAAAACAUAUUUCUCCCCCCCCCCCCCCCCCCCCCCCCCUUCCACCUCUGUGCAUGAUGUAUCCAUCUCCCCAUUAUAGGAUUAACUUCUUUCUUUUAAUACCUAAGCAAGUUUACUGGUUUACAGCAAGAAGCCCUGCUCACAAAAGGACAGGAAUACCAAGUCACUGGCUGCAAAGACAAAAGGUAGCUGAUAUAGUUGCCUUUAAGCAAUUUUGAAUCACCCAAGAAAGACAGCAAUCACAAUGGAUAAUAAAGAAGGAAUAACUUACCUUUUCUGAGGCUCAGGGCUCCCUGGAAACUCUCAAAAGCAGGUGAUCUCUAAGGCUGCCAACCCUUAAAUGAGCUUAGGGAGGGUUGGACCCAGGGUUGCACAGAUGAAUUGCUUGCACCUGUGUUCCCAGAGCUGGCAACGCCCCUUCACCAGGUGCUCAAUCACUGGUUCAGGCUGUGACCUAACGGCUCCCAUACACCUGCCUCUCUACAGUGUGGGUUAGGCAUGGUUUGUACUGCAAGCAAUACGCAACUCAGAAUUGCCAAUCCUGGCAUAAUUUUCAGCAGAACUGCUGUAAAAUGAAGCAACCUCAUUUUUAAACCUCAUUAUGUUCUACAACUUCAUUCUUAUUUUUCCGUUCAUUAACAAAGAGACCGUGCCACGUUUUAUAUGAAUCGAUAAUGACUAAUGGAAUCAUACUUUACACACUUGAAAUCAGAACUAAGUCAAAAAUGGAUAUGGAACUUAGUACAAUGUAUUUAAAAAUUUACCAUUACCACACUAAAAAAAUUACAGCAAUAUAAUAAAAAAGGAACAUAAUGACUGCAGAUCUAUUUCAUGGAUUCAUGGUUUCCCUUUUUAUCAUCAAAUAUAAGAAUAUAACUUUAAAAAUGUAUUUGAAAAGUUUAAUUUCUAACAUUUAUUUACUGAACUCUUGGAAAAUGCGUCUACUGCAUAAUUAGAUUUGAUUACAAGAGCAUUUGGCAUGUAUGAGAGAUGGACAUCCAUACCUUUACUUCGCUCUCAUGAUCACUGCCUGUUCAAUGGGUAUAAAUUGCUAUAUUUUUUCUUUGAAUUUUGCCAUAAAUUUUGCCCAAAGUUCAGAAUGGUGCAAUUUUUUACAUUGUUCUUUAUGCAUCUCUUUUUUUUUUUUUUUUUUUUUUUUUUUGGUAGUGGAUGUAAUCAGAACAUAUUUCAUUCCAUGGCACUCACGGUAAGGAGUUUCCUUCAUCUGCACAUGCCAUCUAUAGUGACGAUGCUCCUUUCCAGGUUGGAAACAGCUAGUACAAGCAACAAAACAAGUGGCUCAGUGUGAUGUAGCUGUCUAGAGAAGUGCCUUGUUGCACAUACCUCAGAGCAGUUUCACACCAGCUCAAUUUUGAGGGAGCUCCAUAUUCUCCAGGAAGACUUUGGCACGCAGUAGAUUCCCAGACUUCAUCUCUUCGUCUCAAAAUAAAAGCAUUGUGCUAGGAAUGGAAAUAUUUAGUUAUUUUCCUGUCAGUGCUGUAUAUUGUCAUUUUGUCUAUUUUUGACUAUGGUAUUUUUUUUUCUUUUCCCUGCAUCACCCUAAUGCCAAUGAAACUCAUUAUUUCCAAGUGUUUAGAGUCCCCAGAACAUGAACAGAGUAUGUCAGCUGCAAAUGAGGAUUUCUUCAUGUAGACAGGACUGCCUCUGUACCACUUAUAUGGACCAGGGCUGACUAAUUCAGGAAAAAUGUUUGCGCACAGAAGUAAUAUGCUUUAAUGGAAAUUCACACACAACAAGUUAUUUCCGUGGAAUAUUCCAUUGCUGAAGAAGCAGAUGACAGAACAGCAUCAUCAUGUUUGAAGCUGGAGCCUUGUGUAAGUGGAAAAUACACGCUUCAGCAGCUACCUCUUUCUAGAAGCUGAACUGGGCUAGUUCAGUCUGAUAGACAAUUUAGAAUUUGAACAGGUUUGCUAAUGAAAGUAAGGGCUUUCAAAAACACAUCACUGCCAUAGAUAGGGCCACAGUCCCCUAAGGUCUGGCUUUCUUGGCCUGAAAAGCUGUUUUCACAUUAGGGUUUAUGCCACAUAACCAGGGUACUGCUGUUCUACAGAGGUACUGAUUAAUUUGAACCCUGAGAAACGAGAGGCAGGGAGUGGGGCAGCAAACCCUUAACUCCAACAUUUCUGGGUUAUCUGAGGAUUCAGCUUCCAACCCAGUCCAGCCCAGUUGAACCCUACCUUGCAGCAGACUGGUGGGAUGUCGGGUGCCACUUGUGAACCUCUGCAAAGUUCAUAGCCCCUUUACCCUCUAAGGUGGCUCGGAGGGUAAGGGAGGCUGGCCAGCUGCAUUCCAACAGAAAUGAAAGGCUGGAUUUUACCUGUGGGAUUCAGAAAAGAUAUGCACAUUCUAAAUUUUGGAAAAAAAAGCUUCUUCAAAACAACACACAAACAACACUCCAUUUACUUGAAACAUGGAGCUAGCAGAUGAGAACAAAGAAUAAAAUAUGAUUAUAAAAAGCCCAGAAUAGUUGCAAUGAAUACAAACUGAAUAAAGUGGGAAAACAAACUCGUUUGAAGUCUGCUUGACACUGAAAGGGCUUCUACAUGAAUGAACUGCAAUUGCUUCAGGAACAUGGGUGCUGUUGAGAUCUUUGCUACCUUUAAAUAAAAUAUAUGAAAUUACUGAGAUUAAAAAAUUAAGUGUAAGGUGCCUUAAUAAAAUUCCCCAUUGCACACAGUCUGUUAUUAUGAAGCCUCUACUAAGUCUGCUACCCUGCCUUAGUCAUGCAGAGGCUAAACUAAAUACCACAAGCCUCCCCACAGUCCUUCCUCUGGGGGGCCAUGAAGUUGCCUGCGCUCCACAGCACCUCCACCUAGACCACAUGCUCCUCAGCACAUACACCUUGUACUGGAGUUUAGAAGAUAUCUACAAAGCUUAUUCCACAUUCCCUACAUCAAAGGAAUCCUUUUACUGCAAAACUGAGACUUUUAUGACUCUCUUCUGCUACAUUAAAGGGCCUGAAUUGAGGAUCUUUACCAUUUGUGUGAAAGACUUCCUUCUCUGCUUACUUCAGGUUAAACAAACAACUUAUUUUUAUAUGGCCCUCA